rnacentral:lncRNA from 1 species
GCUUUCGGCGGCGGAGCGCGGGGCUGAGCGAGCACUAGUGGGAGCUGGAGAGGGCAAGAGGAGGGGAACAACGAAAAAAUCCCCGACCCAAGUAGAGCGGCCGCGGUGCAGCGGGUGAGGCGGCGCCGACGAGAGGUUGUGCAGGUGAAAUCUGGAAAACAACUGGUGAUCAGGGGAUUUAAGAUAAGCGGAGGUGAGCAGGUACAGCAGGUUUCUGUUUUCCUUUCUUAACCAUAUGCAUUUUGAAAAUACUAAUACUUAACUAAUCUCUAGAGCCCAAAGACGUUCUUGGGUUUACACAGGGAGUUG